UGCGGCGGUUAUAGCGGUGUGGAACCACCUCUUCCCAUCCCGAACAGAGAAGUUAAACGCACCAGCGCCGAUGGUACUGCCCCACCAGGUGGGAGAGUAGGCCGCUGCCGCUU
rfam:Bacteroidales bacterium WCE2004 genome assembly, contig: Ga0070256_14